GAUGAACGCUGGCGGCGUGCCUAAUACAUGCAAGUCGAGCGAAUGGAUUAAGAGCUUGCUCUUAUGAAGUUAGAGGCGGGCGGGUGAGUAACACCUGGGUAACCUGCCCAUAAGAAUGGGAUAAGUACGGGAAACCAGAGCUAAUACCGGAAUACAUUUUUAACCGCAUGGUUCGAAAUUGAAAGGCCGCUUCGGCUGUAACUUAUGGAUUGACUCGAGUCGGAUUAGCUAGUUGGUGAGGUAACGGCUCACCAAGGCAACGAUGCGCAGCCGGCCUGAGAGGGUGAUCGGCAACACUGGGACUGAGACACGGCCCAGACUCCUACGCGAGGCAGCAGUAGGGAAUCUUCCGCAAUGGACGAAAGUCUGACGGAGCAACGCCGCGUGAGUGAUGAAGGCUUUCGGGUCGUAAAACUCUGUUGUUAGGGAAGAACAAGUGCUAGUUGAAUAAGCUGGCACCUUGACGGUACCUAACCAGAAAGCCACGGCUAACUACGUGCCAGCCGCCGCGGUAA
rnacentral:rRNA from 1 species